GAUCUUGGUUGGACGAGUUCCACGGACGGUUGACGUCCCAUCCCAUCAAACCGCAAAGUCAUUGUUCAUUAUUUUUUUUUCUCAAUUAGAAUAUUUUGCAUUUCAAGAGUGACUGUGCAUGAUUCUGUGAUCUUUCGUUACCCAAUUUAAUAAAAAUUAUUAAUAUAAAUUUUUAUUUUUGAUAAUAAGUCAGAUUUUUAUUUAAUCCAGUUCUUUAUUUUAGAUCAUAUUAAUAACAUCAUUAAUAUGAUUUUUUAUUUUAAAUAGUGAGUAGUACUUAAUAUGGUUCUUUGUUUUACAUAGACCAUUAUAUAUAUCUAAAAUGAUUAUAGCCAUCAUUAAACUCCCUACUUUUGAUGGCAACAGAUCAUGUUCAUCAAAAUUAUUUUGCUCUUAAUAAGUUUAUAAAAUCAUAAUACAUUCCCUCUUGUUAUAUAUAUAUAUAUAAUUUAUUUUUGACAAAUGAAUCUCUUAUGACACAUUGUUAAGUAUUAUGAUAGUUGGUUUUGAUGUCAAUAACAACUAUUAUUUUCAUUUGUAUCAUUUUUUUUAACUAAAUAUUUUUCAAAAUUUUUUACAUCAUUAUUUUUUAAAAGAAAUUAUAUAAUUUGUGGAAUAAUACUUAAAAGGUGAUUGAAAAGUAUCAUCAUUAUUUUUUAUAAUUAUCUAUUCUA
rnacentral:lncRNA from 1 species